ACAGAAGUAAGCAAUGGGCUGUUACUGGAGUCAGCAGCAUCUGUAGGACAGUGUCCUGCUUCCUUCAGAUGGAGGGCUGCUGCAUCUCGGCCGGGGCGCAACGCAGCAAGGCACGGCUCCUUCAUCUCUUAUUCUCAUUGAUCUGAAUGCACAUGGCUCAGUAGCACUGGGGAAAGGAAACCAAAGCCACUGUCCCUCCAUUUCCAACUGCAUGAGACGGCUGUAAAGAAAGAAGAAAGUCUGUUAGCUGCUGGGUACCUCCCCUUUUGCUGACUAAGAGCCAGCACGAAGAGACUUUCCAGGCCAUUCCCUUGAGGAGGCAGGAGGGAGGCACCUGCCCAACAUGCAGGAGGAAUCACAGUCCUUUCAUUCCCCAACUCAACCCAGCACCAAUCCCAAGAACAUGAUCUUCAGCGAAGAGCACAGCAGUUCGCAGACAUCUGCUCUCUCCCACUCCAUAAUGCAUCCUUAAAUCAGCAAGUACUUGACAUAAUUGGAUCCCAGUACAUGGCUGAGGUUUGUAGUGCCGCUGCAGCACAAAUAAACAUCUUCACCACAGCUGUGGGGCUUCCAGGAGGAAAAUGUGCUCAUCUCCUAAGGAAACCAUGGCAGAGCUUGUCACCAGCAGGUGAUUCCUGCUGCAGCCGUGUCUGGAACCAGAGGCCUGGGCUGGCAGAGAGCUUCUGGGGAUGCUCCCCAGCAGUUCCCAGAGCUGCUUUUGCACCAGCUUUUCCCUUCGCAUCAGGAAUGGUUUGCCAGGGCAGCAGCACAGGGCUGGGGGUGCUUGAGCUGCCCCAGGCACAUGGACCAGCUCAGGUAAGUUGUUCAGUAUGAGCAAAGCACCACAUUCAGAGAAUCCCAGCCUGGUUUGUGUUGGAAGGGACCUUAAAGCUCCUCCAGCUCCAACCCCUGCCACAGUCAGGGACCCCUUCCACUGGAGCAGCUUGCUCCAAGCCCCUGUGUCCAACAUGG
rnacentral:lncRNA from 14 species